CAUAAGUUACUCACGUUGGCCUCAAACUUGUGAUCCUUCUGAUUCCUGAAACUUGUGUUUUCUUCUAACGUUUUAUAAUUUUAACUCUUACAUUUAAAUCUUUGAUCGAGUUUGAGUUACAUUUUGUAUAUGGUGUGAGGUAGGUGUAUAUAUGUUAGUUUCUUUCUUUUUUUAAUAUUCAUUUUUUAAUUGUAGUUGGACACAAUAUCUUUAUUUUAUUUUUAUGUGGUGCUGAGAAUCGAACCCAGGGCCUCUCUUGUGCCAGGUGAGUGCUCUACCGCUGAGCCACAAUCCCAGCCCCUAUAUGUUAGUUUCUUAGGGCCACUAUACCAACGUACCGCAAACUGGGUCACUUAAAACAACAGAUAUUUAUUGCCUCAUUGUUUUGUAAGCUAGAAGUCUGAAAUCAAGGUGUCAGUCAGUUUGGUUCCUUCGGAAGGCUGCUAGGGAGACUCUGUCCCAUGUCUCUCUUAGCUUCUGGUAGUUGCUGACAGUCUUUGACAUUCCUUGCCUUGUAGACACAUCAUUGCAGUUUCUUUUUCUAUUGCUAAGUGGCAUUUGUGCAUUUGUAUCCAUUCUUAGAAGGAUAGCAUUCAGUAAUAUCUUAACUAAUUACAUCUGCAAGGACUAUAUUUCAAGUAAAGUCAUAUUCUGAGGUUGUGGGAAGACAUGAAUAUAGGAGUAGGGGCCACAGCAUAGAGUCUAAUUUCAUUCCUUUGCAUAUGGAUAUCCAGUUGUCCCAGCAACAUUUAUAAAAAAUGACUAUAAUUUGGGGCACAUUUUUUAGCUUGGCAAGGCUAAAAGUCUAGGCUUAAUCUUGCUGGCAUGUGAAGGGAGGGGACCACAGUUUUUUUUUUCUUCAGUGUUUGUCUUCAGUAGAAUAGUUCUUAUCUAAAAGUUUGCUGAUUUUCCAGAUGGCCCUUUUCCUAGUUCUUUGAGUAUGAAGAUCAUACUUAUUGUCUUAUCUUUUGUUUCAUUUUUGUCUGCAUCCUUCAACAUUUCUGGGUUUUCACUUUCUUCAGCUGCAAGGCUUUGAUGUAGGAGGCAGGAAGAAAACCUGAGGUAAUCCCAGUUACUUGGGAGGAUGAGGCUGGAGAAUUGCACAUUUGAGGCCAGCCACAGUAACCUAGUGAGACCCUGUCUCAAAAUUAAAAAAAAAAAAAAAAAGACUCGGGAUAUACCUCAAAGCUGAAGUGCCUCUGGGUUCAAUCCUCAGUCAGUAUCAAAAAAAAAGAGGAGGAAGAAGAAAAAGCAGCACAGCCACUACCACCACCAUCAAGGGAACUUACUACCAUGUUGUUCGUUGGUCCCUAAGAUUCCUAGCUCAUCUGUUGCCUUCUCUCCCCCUUCUCAUGUUUGUUGUAUGUAUAAUGUUCAGAGUUUUUAAUUGCAUUUAGUGGGAAGAACUGGAGAAGCAUGUCUACUCUAUCUUUCCAGGACAUUGAAUGUAUA
rnacentral:lncRNA from 1 species